rnacentral:rRNA from 1 species
CUGGUGCCAGCAGCCGCGGUAAUUCCAGCUCCAAUAGCGUAUAUUAAAGUUGUUGCAGUUAAAAAGCCCGUAGUUGAACUUCAGGCCUGGUGGGGUGGUCCGCUUAACGGCGUGUACUGCUCUGCUGGGUCUUACCUCUUGGUGAGCCGGCGUGGCCUUCACUGGUUGCGUCGGGGAACCAGGACUUUUACCUUGAGAAAAUUAGAGUGUUCAAAGCAGGCCUAUGCCUGAAUACAUUAGCAUGGAAUAAUAAAAUAGGACGUGCGGUUCUAUUUUGUUGGUUUCUAGAGUCGCCGUAAUGAUUAAUAGGGAUAGUUGGGGGCAUUGGUAUUGAGUCGCUAGAGGUGAAAUUCUUGGAUUGACUCAAGACCGACUACUGCGAAAGCAUUUGCCAAGGAUGUUUUCAUUAAUCAAGGACGAAGGUUAGGGGAUCGAAAACGAUCAGAUACCGUUGUAGUCUUAACAGUAAACUAUGCCGACUAGGGAUCGGGCGACCUCAAAUUUGAUGUGUCGCUCGGCACCUUACGAGAAAUCAAAGUUUUUGGGUU